rnacentral:lncRNA from 10 species
AUCUUAUUUAAGAAAGUAAAGCUGCUUCUUUCACGAAAACAACUAUACAGGUACCUAGAGGAUUUGGGUACAAUUUCAGAUCAUUAAAAUACAUCUGUAGAUCCUAAAGAUAAAGAAGUCCUGUUCUAAAGUAUCACAACUAAUUUGAAUGACUGACAUGGGAUAUUUUGAGGCUUCCAGUAAGAAUUUAUUUUAUAUAAGCUAAAUAGGCAAUUAGACAUUUGCUACAUUGGGACCUCAUAUUAUAAGAUUUUGCUUUUUUUUUUUCUUGGAAUUCAGGUUUUUAGGGUAGUGGUCCCCAACUUUUUUGGCAGCAGGGACUGGUUCAUGGAAGACAAUUUUUCUGCUGAGCAGGGGUGGGAGGUGGGCAGGGUUGGGUGAUGGUUUCGGGAUGAAACUGUUUCACCUCAGAUCAUCAGGCAUUAGAUUCUCAUAAGGAGCACACAACCUAGAUCCUUUGCAUAUGCAGUUCACAGUGGCAUUUCUGCUUCUUUGAGAAUUUAAUGCUGCUGCUGAUCUGACAGGAGGUGGAGCUCAGGUGGUAAUGCUCACUUCCCCGCCAUUCACCUGCUGCUGUGCAACCCUGUUCCUAAUAGGCCACAGACCAGUACAUGUCCACAGCCCAGGGGCAUGGCAAGAGGAGACAUUAGCAAAUAUGCAGAUUGUCCUGUUUACAUGUCAGCUCUGAAGACUGUUGAGUUGAUGGGUCUUCCCUUGGUUGCAAGCCAACAGCAGUCAGAAGCAAGAAACCUUGUCUAGAUUUCACAAUAACCUUGUCACAAGUCUCACGUUUCCUGUAGGAAAGCUGAAUUUACCAGCACACUCACUGUGAGUAAAACUGUAACUCUGCUCUGAGCAGAAGGCUUGUGCUGAGGAUAAAAACAAAUUCUCAGUGGAAAUACAAAAUUGAUCUAUUAAUUCCUGGAUGCUAAAGACAAUGAUUUUUUCCUGUCUGGUGGCUGUUUUUCUUUUGUAUGUAACUUUCAGUUUAUUUCCGUAGUUAGGAAAGAGAUAAAGCAACUUGAGAAAGCAUAGGAAGGUGUAGUCCCCUGAAAUCUAAAUGAAGCCUGUUUGGUCUUGCAGUUUCCUGUGCAGGUCUGGCCUGGGGCAGGACUAUAUGGGCAUCUGCAGCCCACACAAUGUAGGAAAAAGACUGGUAGAAUAUUAUCAUUAACUAAAGUAACUAUAGAUGUUCAUUACUGAGCACUUAUUGUACAAUGGCCAUUGGGCUAGGUGCUCUACCUAAAUUACAUUAAAUUCUCACCACUCUAAAAAGUAGGUAUCAUUUUUCUUUUAUGUGGAAGGGGCUGUGCCACUGAAUGGGUAAGAGCACAGACUCUGGCUUUCCACAAUCUCGAUUCAUACAUAUUGGCCUUGUGACCUUGAGAAAGUUACUUAGUCUCCUUGUGCGGCAUUUCUUUCAUCUGUAAAAUGGGGCUAAAACACAAAUUUGAAUCCAGGUCAGAGUUUCUUUUUUAAAUUUAUUUUUUAAUAAAAAAUUUUAAUGAGAUGUAAUUCACAUAUAUUAAAAUUUGCCCAUUUAAAGUGUACAAUACCAUGUUUUUAUUUUUCAUUUUUAAAUUUUAAUUUUUAUUCUUCCAACCUUUUUUUUUUUUUUUUUUUUCUGAGACAAGGUCUCACUCUGUUACCCAGGCUGGAGUGCACUGGGGCGAUCUCGGCUUACUGCAACCUCGGCUCACUGCAACCUCUGCCUCCCGGGCUCAAGUGAUUCUCUUGCUUCAGCCUUCUAAGUAGCUGGAAUUAACAGGCAUGUGCCACCACGCCUGGCUAAUUUUUUGUAUUUUUAGUAGAGACAGAGUUUCACGAUGUUGGCCAGGCUGGUCUUGAGCUCCUGGCCUCAAGUGAUCUGGCCACCUUUGCCUCCCAAAGUGCUGGAAUUAUGGGCGUGAGACACUGCGCCUGGCCUUUCCCACCUUCCACCCUCAAGUGGGCCCCAGUGUCUAUUGCUCCCCUCUAUGUGUCCAUCUGUACUCAAUGUUUAGCUCCCACUUAUGUGGUCAGUGUUUAGCUCCCACUUUAGAACAUGCGGUAUUUGGUUGUCUGUUCCUGAAUCAAUUUGUUUAGGAUAAUGUCAGCCAGGGUUUCUACCCAGGAAAGCCUACUGCCUGAUUCAGUCCUUAGCUAAAUUGUAAAGAUCCCUUUGAUUCCUCCCUCCAGCCCUCCUUUCUCACUACAGCACCCUCUCUCCCUAUCUCCACUAACAAGAUCUUUCCUUCCCUCUCCUUCUUCUCUUCAUAACUUCGCUUGCAACUUCCGGUUUCCAGGCUACAGAAUGCCAGCUUUCACAAGUGUGAGGACUGCUAUGAAAGAGAGGCACAUGCAUAGCAAGGGCAUUUUUAGACCUCCAAAGCCUCAGGAACACAGGAAGUAAUUCUCUAAUAAAUAGAUAUCUGGAAUUGUAACUGGUUGAAGGAAAUACUUGGUGCCAAAUUCCUAUUUAGUGCUCCUCAAAACACACGAUGAUGGAAAGUGGCCUCCUCCUUUUUCUAAAUUAAUUGGGCUUUGAUAUGGGUCUGGAAGAAACUCAUGAGCUGCAGUCUUUCAUUCAGGAACUUAAUAACUUUUGGCCAUAGUUGGAAUGACUUGUCAUGUUUGGGUCCAGCCAAUAGGGAACACAGGUCACAUCUUUCCCUGCAUAAGCCCACAGCCACCCAUGCUGUGGGUAGCUGUCCCUUUCCUUUCCCUUCAUAAAGUGGAUAGGAGGCGAAUAAGGCUGAAUAGUAAUUAUAAACAUCUGGUGGUUACUUUAUGAUUAGGUCAUGUUAAAGAUUUUGGGAAGCCUUCCAUCAGUCUCAGUUAAUAUCUUUCCAAUUAUGUUUACAUUGACAUUUACCCUGGGCCCUGUAACUUCUCAUUAUGCCUUCUGGAGUUAUCCCAUACGCUCUGGGCGUGGUGAGAAGUUCACCAGGGAGGCAAGGAUUACUGCUGCUACUGCUUGAUCAAGGGGAAAGGCAGCCAGCAGUUCCAAGGAGCCAGGAAGGGACUGCCCAGACAUGAAGAAAGAUAAUGUGGUUACUAUUUUGUCAUAUACUUUGGCUUUAUUUUACCUGAAAGUUCAAUGACCAAGAUACUAGAAAAAGUCUUCAUAGCACUGAGGGGCUGUUUCUGAAUUAGAGACACAACUGAUAGUUGGAAGCCUGUUGUUUGUGAGAAAGAAUUGUUUGACUAGCAACACACCUAGCCUCUCUGCAUUAAUCUCCCAAAUGAAAUUCAGAACAGGUAUUGGAAGCCUAGACAUGAAAUGAAAGAAAAAUGUAUGAACUAAGUACACUGAUUGCAUUCAUUCAGCAGGUGUUUUCUUGUUGUCUGAGCAACUUCUAUAUAUUUAGCUCACUGCAUAACAAGGUGCAGAUACAGUGGUAUAUAAGACAUUGUCAGCUGGGCACGGUGGCUCAGGCCUGUAAUCCCAGCACUUUGGGAGGCCGAGGUGGGCAGAUCACUUGAGGUCAGGAGUUCAAGACCAGCCUGACCGACACGGUAAAACCCCAUCUCUACUAAAAAAAAAAAAUACAUAAACAAAGCCGGGCGUGGUGGCAUAUGCCAGUAAUCCCACCUACUUGGGAGGCUGAGGCAGGAGAAUCAGUUAAACCCGGGAGGCAGAGGUUUCAGUGAGCCGAGAUGGUGCCACUGCACUCCAGCCUGGGCAACAGAGUGAGACUCCGUCUCAAAAAAAAAAAAAAAAGACAUUGUCUCCUUUCUCUAAAGCCAUAUGGUUUAGUUGGGUGGUAAGGUAGAUGAUAAAAUAUUUACAUAAAAUUAUAAGUAUAGAAAAUGAAGCAUAUACUCUAAGUAAUACACAAAAAUGUCUCCUGAUAAGCCUUUUAUUUUGUGUUUGGUGUAAUUUUUUAAAGUGACAUGUUCAUGUUUUUGAAUAAAUUUUACUUACGUCUUUGUGUUUUUAUGUACUUUCCAGUGGAAAAUUAUUAAAAAUGUUUUCCCAGCAAAUCAACACAAUUUAAUAGUAAAUAGCAAUAUUAGCAGCAUUCCAUCUAGUGCAAAAUAGGUCUUUCAAGCACAGUGGCCAAUGACCGUGGAGAAGUCUCCCAGGAAGGUUCUGGAACAGGUUCUUACAGGAAGGGCAGCCGAGAACAUCAAUGAUUAAAAGGGGGCUGAGAAGAGGAAACUGAUGGACAAAGAGGUGAGAAGUGGGAGAAAGAACGAAAAUCUGGAGGUUGGAGGAUAAACAAACCCACAUCCUUGUGGAUGAAGAAGGAUACCAAAAACUCAUUUUCCUGGAAGGAGCAAUUUUUGAAAUCAGCUACACUGAGGCUGCAGAUUGAGUGAAGGUCUUUUCCAUGUGAAUUUGUCCUGCAUCUGGGAUAAAGGUAUAAUGAUUACCUAAAGCAUGUUCUGUUCAUGGAAGAUCACUGGAACACAAAAGACCAAGCUCACAGCAUAUUCAAGACAUCUGCUCGUAUUCCACUGGCCAAAGAAAGUGAUGUGGCCCAGCCUAAAGUCAGGAACAGGAGCAGGAGGCUUUGACAACUGAGAUCUUCGAUCAUGAGUGUUGUGAAUGCAGACGGGGUUUUGUACUCCAGGCACUGUGCUAGGCACCAGGACUAUAAUACAACUUGUGAUCUGUAGAGGAGUCAGACAAUUAUCCAGGCAUCCCAAAGAAAUGUCAAUUGCAAACAAACACCACCCAACACGCCUCAUGUAUAUCAUUUUAAGCUACAGAAAUAUGGAAUCUUCAGUGAAGUUUACCUUUGGGGCCACUCCCACCUUAACCUGGCCUGGAUCCCUUUUUCCCUGGAGGCUGUUCUGAAGAUGGCACCCUACCUGCUCACCUUUUAGUGUACCUGGGCACCCAUGCCUCCAUAUGGUGACCCUCAAAUCAUACUGUAUGAAGAGCAGCUGUUUUGUCAACUAUUUUUUAAUGAGAUUUUUUUUGCUUUGGUUUAAAAAAUAGCAUAUAUUUGCGUUAGAAAAUUAGAAAUACAGAAGAAACAGAAAUAUAAAAGAAUUACCUAUAACAUGCAAAAAUGACUAGUACAAAUGUUUUUGUUUUUUUACAGUAUGUGAACAUAUUGUAUGUUUAUAUUAAUAUCCAUAGUAUUUAUUUUUGCCUACAUGUUUUACUUAACAUAUGUAGUAAGCAUUUCCCAUGUUAGUCAAAUUAUUUGUGGACAUUAUUUUUAAUGACUAUUAAUGUUAUUACUCUACAGCUUGCCGAAUAAGUCUCCUAUUAUAUGUCAUUUUGGGUCCUAGCAACAUUUUUGUGUUUAAAUCCUUGUAGCAGUUUUGACUGAUUUCCUUAAGAUAGAGUCCAAGAAGAGAAAUAAUUUGCUUGUUUGUUUAUCAUUUGGUACUUUCUUUUAUGGUAAUGUCCUUGGGGCUGAUAAUUCAGAACCAUGAAUAGAUAUGAUUCUUGUCUUUGAGGAGAUUGUAGCCUUGUGCUAGGUUAAAGAAUAGGCACGUUUUAAAGUUCUCGAUACACAUUUUCAAAGUGCUUUUCAAAAAUUUGUAUCAAUUCAUCCUUCUACUAUAAGGGAAAAUCUGUUCUGGGUUGUUUUUCUGGUAUAUCUUCCUAUUAAGAACCUGUUCUCCCUCCUGCUUUGUGACUCACAUGGAGUUGCCACUGCAUGCUAUCAUCUCCAUCCCUUAGAGCAACCUAUUAGAGAACUUACUCUCUGGAGUCCCAAAAGAGAAACAACAGCAACAACUCAGCAAUUCAUCUGGGGUCAGCGUGUUACCCAGUCUGGGCCAUUGGAGAUUUUUUUAAAGGGAAGUUUCUCCUAUUUUCUUCAAAAUUCUGAGCUGUGAAGAGGACCACUAGAAAGUUCAAUCUAUUUAUGAUUUUUUAAAAAACUGUUAUUAUAUAUAUUUAAGUGUAUGUCAUGUUUCCACACAUAUAUACAUAGUGAAAUGAUCACUGUAAUCAAGCUAAUUAGAAUAUCCCCCAUCUCGCAUAGUCACCUUUGUGUGUGAAAAGGGUUCAGUGCUUCCCUCUCCACUCUUCAUCUCCCCUUUAAAAAAGCAGAGAUGAAUGGAGAGGGAAAGGUUGAACAAUGGUUAUGUGGUGGGACUGCUGGGAUUCACCUGAGAGUUAAAACCAGCUAGUUCUACCCGUAUGUUUUUCACUUAGAUAAGCCAACAAAUUAAUUUCUUUUCCUCUAUUCUUCUUGUCUUCUUUCCUGCCUCUUUACCUGUCUCCCUUCCUUCCUCUCUUCCCACUCUCUUUCUUUCCUUAUUUAAAUUGGUUUGAAUUGAGUUUCUGACACUAAUGGAGAGUCCUUAUUGUGCCUUCACGUUAUUUUUAUCAAACCAGAAAAUGUUAAUGACAUAAAACAAUUACUGUUUGGACAAGGAAAAUUGUAUUUCUUUCCUUGAAAUUUCUACACACAUACACAUUUGUGCUUGUUAGUGAGGCUAAGCAUUUUCCCCCUUAUUUGUGAAUUAUAUAUUCAAUGUUUUGAUCCAUUUAUCAAAUAAAUUCCUUAGUUUAAAAAAUAUUUGCAGGUGCGGUUAUUAUGGAAAGCAGCAUGAAGUUUCCUCUAAAUAUUAAAAAUAGAAUCACCACAUGACUCAGCAAUCCCUCCUCUCUAUAUAUUUUUAAAGGAAAUGAAAUCAGCACUUCAUGGAACUAUCUCCACUCCCGGCUGGGCGCAGUGGCUCACGCCUGUAAUCCCAGCACUUUGGAAGGCCAAGGCAGGUGGAUCACGAGGUCAAGAGAUGGAGACCAUCCUGGCCGACAUGGUGAAACCCUGCCUCUACUAAAAAUACAAAAAUUAGCUGGGCGGGGAGGCACAUGCCUGUAAUCCCAGCCACUCGGGAGGCUGAGACAGGAGAAUCGCUUCAACCUGGGAGGCGGAGGUUGCAGUGGCUGAGAUCGCACCACUGCAGUCCAACCUGGUGACAGAGGGAGACUCCAUCAAAAAAAAAAAAAAGAAAAAAAGAAAUAUCUCCACUCUUAUAGUCAUUGAAGCAUAAUUAACAAUAACCAAGCUAUGAAAUCAAUGUAAGUGCCCAUCAAUGGAUGAGUGGAUAAAGAAAAUGUUACACACACACACACACACACACACACACACACACAGUGGAAUUUCAUGUAGCCUUAAAAAAGAAGACGAUUUUGUUAUUUAUAACAUGCCUGAAUGUGGAGGACAUUAGGUUAAGUGAAAUAAGCCAGAAAGAAAAAUACUGCAUGAUCUUACUUAUAUGUGGAAUCUAAAAACGUCAAGUACAAAAAAGCAAAAAGUAGAAUAGUGGUUGCUGGGAUCUGGGGCUGAGAUUAUGAUGGGCAAAUGGGAAGAAAUUGAGUGCAGAGUUUUGAUUAGGAUCAAUAAGUCUAGAGAGCAAAUGUACAGCAUGAAGACUAUAGUUACUACUGGGUUGUAUACUGGAAAUUUGCUAAGAAAGUAGGUUGUAGGUCCUCUUACCAUACACACAUAUACAGGUAACUAUGCGAGAUGAUGGAUAUUCUAAUUAGAUUGACUGUAGUAAUCAUUUCACUAUGUAUGUGUAUGAAAACAUGACAUACACCUUAAAUAUAUAUAAUAACAUUAAAAAAACCCAAAAUCUUGAAAAGAUUAUUAAGCUUUCCAAUGCCCAAGAAAAGGAAGAAAAGAAAAAGAAACUGCCACAGCUUAUUUUAAAAAUAAAAGUGGGCUCUCUUUUUAAAAUAUUAAUUUUAUAGUACCUUAUCUGGUAACCAAAAUAUUUUUAAAUAUUCUGAUGCUAUUAUAGUAUAAUCAUUCUUUAAUAAUUUUGUAGAUUUCACUUUACUGAACAAAGCCCUAAACAAAAACAUUGAAUAUGACAAAAACUUGCAUAAGUUUAUUUCAUACUGAAGACAUAUAUGCUAUAGAUUUGUAGAAAUACUUCCCACUUGGUUACUUGCUUAUGUUAUGAGUUUUUACCUACAGAAACUUGCUUUUUUUCUUGUAAAAUUUAGAUUAAUUUCUUUGGUAUGUUUUCCUACUGCUUUAAAACUUCAGAAUUCCUUUUUUCAUAGAACUUUUCUAUUUUCACUUAGAAACAUUCAGAACUUAUGUUAGUGUGUGAUUUGAGGUGGUUUUUGUGUUGACUUUGUUUCCUACCUUGUUAGCUAUUUUUUCUAUGCCAUUGUGGAAUAAUUUGUUAAUUUUCAGUGGAUUCAUAAUGCCUUUAAAAAAUAAGGUUGUGUUCUCAGAGGUGAUAAAUUUUAUUUAUUUAUGAUGCUCCAUCUAUGUUAAGGCUAUUUGUAAGUCUAUGUGUAUGGUAGGAUUUUAGUUCUACACUGCAUCUUACACAGGUUAGUAAAAUAUAGCACAUUUAUUAAUUAUUUAGAGUAUAGGAUUACGUAUUGAUAAGUACAAGCUAUUGAGCCUUCCCAUGUCCUAGGCACUUUGCUGAAUUUUAAUCCUUAUCACAACUCAAUGGGAUAGAUACUGUUGUCAUCUUUUGUAGACAUGGGUUUAUUAUAGCUAUUUUAAAAUGAGUUAGCAAAUUCAAAUUUCAAAAAUUCUAUUUUUAUUUCUAAUAUGGUAAAUAUUGAUAAAUAAAAUUUAUAUAAACAAAUAUUUUGAUGUACUCAGUAACCCAUAAGGGUAUAUAAGAGCCCUGAAAUGAAAAAGUUUGAGAACUGCUUAUAAGCCCUAUAUAAUUAUUAGGUAUUAAUAUCAUUAUUAAUUUUUGAAUCUAUAUUCAAAUAUAGUUAUCAUAAAAUGAACUUCAUAUAUGUAAGUGUAUACUUUGAUGUGUUUUGACAUAUGUAUAUUAUAAUGAAGCCAUCAUCAUAAUUAAGAUAAUAAACAUAUCCAUCACUCUCAGAG